AUUGAACGCUGGCGGCAUGCUUUACACAUGCAAGUCGAACGGCAGCGCGGGCUUCGGCCUGGCGUCGAGUGGCGAACGGGUGAGUAAUACAUCGGAACGUGCCCAGUAGUGGGGUAUAGCUCGGCUAAAGCCGGAUUAAUACCGCAUACGACCUGAGGGUGAAAGCGGGGGAUCUUCGGACCUCGCGCUAUUGGCGCGGCCGAUGGCAGAUUAGCUAGUUGGUGGGGUAAAGGCCUACCAAGGCGACGAUCUGUAGCUGGUCUGAGAGGACGACCAGCCACACUGGGACUGAGACACGGCCCAGACUCCUACGGGAGGCAGCAGUGGGGAAUUUUGGACAAUGGGCGAAAGCCUGAUCCAGCAAUGCCGCGUGUGUGAUGAAGGCCUUCGGGUUGUAAAGCACUUUUGGCGGGAACGAAAAGGACUGUGCCAAUACCACGGUUCGAUGACGGUACCCGCAGAAUAAGCACCGGCUAACUACGUG
rnacentral:rRNA from 1 species